rnacentral:rRNA from 1 species
GCCUGUUUAUCAAAAACAUGUCUUUUUGAAAAUAAUUUAAAGUUUAAUCUGCCCCCUGAUAAAAAAAAUUAAAGGGCUGCAGUAUUUUGACUGUACAAAGGUAGCAUAAUCCUUAGUCUUUUAAUUGGUGGCUUGUAUGAAAGAUUGAAUGAGAUAUAAACUGUCUAAAAAAUAAUUAAUUGAAUUUAAUUUUUUAAUUAAAAAGUUAAAAUAUUUUAAAAAGACGAGAAGACCCUAUAGAGUUUUAUAUUAUUUAUUGAUUUAAAUUAUAUAUAAAAAUAAUAAAUUAUAAAUUAGAAAUAAUAUUUUAUUGGGGUGAUAAAAAAAUAAAAAAAACUUUUUUUAAUAUUAAACAUAAAUAAAUGGUUAUUUGAUCCAAUUUUAUUGAUUAAAAGAAAGAAUUACCUUAGGGAUAACAGCGUAAUUUUUUUUUUUAGUUCAUAUAAAAAAAAAAGUUUGCGACCUCGAUGUUGGAUUAAGAUAAAAUUAAA